UUAAAUUGAAGAGUUUGAUCAUGGCUCAGAUUGAACGCUGGCGGCAGGCCUAACACAUGCAAGUCGAGCGGUAACAGGAAAGUGCCUGCACUUUUGCUGACGAGCGGCGGACGGGUGAGUAAUGUC
rnacentral:rRNA from 2 species